UGGGGAAUAUUGCACAAUGGGCGCAAGCCUGAUGCAGCCAUGCCGCGUGUAUGAAGAAGGCCUUCGGGUUGUAAAGUACUUUCAGCGGGGAGGAAGGGAGUAAAGUUAAUACCUUUGCUCAUUGACGUUACCCGCAGAAGAAGCACCGGCUAACUCCGUGCCAGCAACCGCGGUAAUACGGAGGGUGCAAGCGUUAAUCGGAAUUACUGGGCGUAAAGCGCACGCAGGCGGUUUGUUAAGUCAGAUGUGAAAUCCCCGGGCUCAACCUGGGAACUGCAUCUGAUACUGGCAAGCUUGAGUCUCGUAGAGGGGGGUAGAAUUCCAGGUGUAGCGGUGAAAUGCGUAGAGAUCUGGAGGAAUACCGGUGGCGAAGGCGGCCCCCUGGACGAAGACUGACGCUCAGGUGCGAAAGCGUGGGGAGCAAACA
rnacentral:rRNA from 1 species